ACCCGCAGCCGGCGGGCGCAGGAGGGGCAGAGGAGGCGGCGCUGCUAGCAGCACGGAGAGGAGCCAUGUCAAGAUAAAGCCACCAAGCCGCCGAGCCCCCCCAUCCCCGCCGCAGUGGACACGGUGAUCGGGCCGCCCGCUCUGCCGCUGCUCAGCCCCAGCCUGGUCCCCAUAGUCUAGCUCAGCGCCCCGGUGCCGGGGAGUGGGGAAAUGGUGGCGGAGAGAGGAAGAGGAGAAGGAGGAAGAGGCGACGGCGGCAGCAACGGAAGGAAGACGAGACGGCGGCGGGUCGCUGCGCUAGUGGCUCCCGAGGAGGGCGGCGGGCAUAGAGGCGCCGGAACGGUGGCGGACGGGGACAGCCCGAAGGAAGACGAGAGCUCUCUUCGCCCAGGAGACCCUGGGACGUCCUCGGAGGCGACGACAGGAGCGAGCGGGAGCACCGCGAUCUGCGUCUGGCUGUCGGCACGGGAGCGAAGGGCGAGAGCAGCCGCGCGGCAGGAGCGAGCGCUCAAAAUGGCAGCGCCUGAGUCACACAGGUGCCGCCCUGCCCGCACUGCGCAGGCGCGCUCGGCCGGCGCGUACCAAGCGCUCGGGCCCGCGGGGGAGAGGGAUCUGGGGUGCGGGUCGGGAGGCUCCGCGACAGCCUCGUUAUCCGCGGGCGCUCCCUUCUGGGAGGUAGAAAGAGGAGACAAUAAAUGUGGUAGGGCUCUUCCGAGCCGUCAGCACACCAAGAAGCCGGGUGGCUCUUGCCUGCUCCUUCGUCCCCCCGGCGCCCCGUGUCUCUGCCCUCGCGCCUCACGUGGCCCUGAGGGACGAGGACCCGGAUGGAGUUGCUCAACGCUGCGCUCGGGGCGGGGGGGGGAGGGGGGGAAGCGACACCCUCACACCGCUGCCACAUGGUGGGAGUUGCCGGAGGGAGACGGGUUGUGUGAGGCGUGUGGUGGUCUUCGUAUCGGUGUGCCCGCUUUUGUUUCAUCUCACUCACCGAGUUUUGGGUUCAGCUGAGAAUGCGUGUGCGAAGUAAACUGCACUGUAAAAAUAAGUUGACCACGAGGCGCCGGGCGGUGCCCACCUCCAGCGUGGCUCUGCAGCAGCGAAUGUGUGUGGCUGAGGUGUACCCUGAGAAGGGCUGCUCGCUUUUUUGUUGCUAUUCCGGAGACCCGAGCCUAAUCCUUGAAGAAAAACAGGCAUUUCUAUCUCCAAGCUAGAAGGAAAGGUGUACACCACCCAUUUCUCCCUUCCUCUGCCACAGAAGCAAAGGCACGCAGUCCACAGUCCACGUUCCCAGUUGCUCCUUUCAGUGUGGGCAGAAGGGUCACCUUAAUAGGCUGUGCCCUGGCUUCUGCCUGUCCCUUCCACAUUCCCGCUGGCGGUGUCCGUGACUCAUGAGAACAGAAACGGUGUUAAGAAAGAUUACAAGCAGAGGGCGAGUGCGGGCACUGCCCGUCUGGGCUGAUUGUGUUUCGGAGCUCACAGAGCACGGCAGUGGGCUCUGUCUGAUAAACACCAGUAAAUCAAGCAUUAGUCUCUAAGACAUAACAGGAAUGCUUUUGCGUAGAGAAAUGGCAAUGUUUCAUGUGAAAAGCAUUCCCUACAGCACGCUGUGGACAACUGUAUAUCCACCUUACAGCUAUUGCUACAGCACUGAGGCUUCAUUCAUCUCUUCCCUGUGUCAUGCCUGUGGUCAUAAAAUGGACCAUACAUC